GGAAUGCCUAGGAAAGGGCAAAGACAAAGGGAAAGGGCAAAGGGGAUCAUUUGGAAAUAGUAUUGUGGGCAAGAGGAUUGCUGACCAGAUUCAAGGCCAGCAAAAGAGGAGUUUGGGGAUUUUCUGACCCCUCAGCAACCCAUGAAGGGUAGGGGAGAAGUCCUUAGCAAGAAGUCCAGGAAUGUGACAACCCCUUCUGACCUAAUAAGAUGCUUCCCUCCCUACCCUGGCCAAGUUUAAUCCUAGGAGUGUGAAGAUCUUUGAGAAUGUCUAAGGUAAGUCCAGGUUUGGGGGCUGGAACUCAAAAGUUAUGACUCUACUUCUGGGAAAUGUCCCCUCCUCUUUCCUUCCACUGCUUCCCCACACUGUCUUCUCCAGAUCAAGGACAUGCUGCCUGUCACCUUCCUUGACUCCCAGACCCACUUCAGCCCUUGUGUUAUAGUUGCUCAGAGUUGGAAGGGAGGAGGCAAGAAACAGAAGCUCCAUCUGGGGUCAUGAUGGUGAAGAACUUGAUGAUGAGGACUUUCAUGUAUUGAAGCCAGAAUUAAAAAC
rnacentral:lncRNA from 1 species